AUUGAACGCUGGCGGCAGGCCUAACACAUGCAAGUCGAGCGGAUGAAGGGAGCUUGCUCCUGGAUUCAGCGGCGGACGGGUGAGUAAUGCAUAGGAAUCUGCCUGGUAGUGGGGGAUAACGUCAGGUAACGGGCGCUAAUACCGCAUACGUCCUGAGGGAGAAAGUGGGGGAUCUUCGGACCUCACGCUAUCAGAUGAGCCUCGGUCGGAUUAGCUAGUUGGUGGGGUAACGGCCUACCAAGGCGACGAUCCGUAACUGGUCUGAGAGGAUGAUCAGUCACACUGGAACUGAGACACGGUCCAGACUCCUACGGGAGGCAGCAGUGGGGAAUAUUGGGCAAUGGGCGAAAGCCUGACCCAGCCAUGCCGCGUGUGUGAAGAAGGUCUUCGGAUUGUAAAGCACUUUUAUUUGGGAGGAACGGCAGUAAGUUAAUACCUUGCUGUUUUGACGUUACCAACAGAGUAAGCACCGGCUAACUUCGUG
rnacentral:rRNA from 1 species